rnacentral:rRNA from 1 species
UACGGGGGGAGCAAGCGUUGUUCGGAUUUACUGGGCGUAAAGGGCGCGUAGGCGGUCAGCACAAGUCAGUUGUGAAAUCUCCGAGCUUAACUCGGAAAGGUCAACUGAUACUGUGCGACUAGAGUGCAGAAGGGGCAACUGGAAUUCUCGGUGUAGCGGUGAAAUGCGUAGAUAUCGAGAGGAACACCUGCGGCGAAGGCGGGUUGCUGGGCCGACACUGACGCUGAUGCGCGAAAGCCAGGGGAGCGAACGGG